UACGGAGGGUGCAAGCGUUGUUCGGAAUUACUGGGCGUAAAGCGCACGUAGGCGGCUCUUUAAGUCUUUCUGUGAAAUGCCGGGGCUCAACCCCGGACCUGCAGGGGAUACUGGAGGGCUAGAGACUGGUAGAGGCAAGUGGAAUUCCGGGUGUAGCGGUGGAAUGCGUAGAGAUCCGGAAGAACACCGGUGGCGAAGGCGGCUUGCUGGGCCAGGUCUGACGCUGAGGUGCGAAAGCGUGGGGAGCAAACAGG
rnacentral:misc_RNA from 1 species